rnacentral:misc_RNA from 1 species
UCUCCGUUGGUGAACCAGCGGAGGGAUCAUUACAGAGUCGUAAAAAACUCCCAAACCCAUGUGAACUUACCUAUGUUGCCUCGGCAGGACCUACCCGGGAUCUACCCUGUAGCCUGCCGAUGGACUAUUAAACUCUUGUUAUUUUAAAUACAUCUGAGCGUCUUAUUAAAUAAGUCAAAACUUUUAACAACGGAUCUCUUGGUUCUGGCAUCGAUGAAGAACGCAGC